rnacentral:rRNA from 1 species
UACAGAGGCCUCGAGCGUUAGGCGGAAUCACUGGGCUUAAAGCGUGUGUAGGCGGACUUCUAAGUGCCUUGUGAAAUCCCACCGGCUCACCCGUGGAACUGCUGGGCAUACUGGGAGUCUUGAGGCCACCUAGGGGCGAGCGGAACAAAUGGUGGAGCGGUGAAAUGCGUAGAUAUCAUUUGGAACGCCAACGGAGAAAUCAGCUCGCUGGGGGUGUGCUGACGCUGAGACACGAAAGCCAGGGGAGCGAACGGG